rnacentral:rRNA from 1 species
CUACGGGUGGCAGCAGUCAAGAACCUUCCACAAUGGACGAAAGUCUGAUGGAGCGACGCCGCGUGAUCGAUGAAGCUUUUCGAAGUGUAAAGAUCUUUUAUGAGGGAAGAAGUUUAUUGACUGUACCUCAUGAAUAAGGGGCUCCUAACUCUGUGCCAGCAGGAGCGGUAAUACAGAGGCCCCGAGCGUUAUCCGGAAUCAUUGGGCGUAAAGGGUGCGUAGGUGGCUAUAUUAGUCUUUCGUUAAAUCCAUGGGCCUAACCUGUGGCGUGCGAAGGAAACGGUAUAGCUUGAGAGCGAGAGAGGUGAAUGGAACUAAUAGUGUAGGGGUGAAAUCCGUUGAUAUUAUUGGGAACACCAAAAGCGAAGGCAAUUCACUGGCUCGUUUCUGACACUGAUGCACGAGAGCGUGGGUAGCGAAUGGGAUUAGAUACCCGGGUAGUC